GUCUCUUUGAUAUAAGUCUAUAAAGAGUCGGACCUGCCCAGUGACUAAAUUGUUAAACGGCCGCGGUACCCUAACUGUGCAAAGGUAGCAUAAUCAUUUGCUUUUUAAUUGAAGGCUAGUAUGAAUGGUCUGACGAAAGCUAAGCUGUCUCUUUAGAAAUAUUUAGAAAUUAAUUUUUAGGUGAAGAAGCCUAAAUGUAAUUGAGGGACAAGAAGACCCUGUUGAGCUUAAGCGUAGCGGUAAAUUUAUUUUAUGUGAAUUGGUAUGAUAGUCAUAACUAUUUUUUAUCGUGAAUUUUUAGUUGGGGCGACUGAGGAACAAUUAAAGCUUCCUUGAAAAAAUUAAAAAUACUACUUACAAGUUAAUUUGAUCCGGCAUGGCCGAUUAAGGGAAAAAGUUACCACAGGGAUAACAGCGUAAUCUUUCUGGAGAGAUCAAAUCGAAAGAAGGGUUUGCGACCUCGAUGUUGGACUAAGAUAACCUGAGGGUGCAGUAGUUCUCAAUGGUUGGUCUGUUCGACCAUUAAAAUCUU
rnacentral:rRNA from 1 species